rnacentral:misc_RNA from 1 species
AGAGUUUGUAACACCCAAAGUCGGUGGGGUAACCUUUGGGACGUGGCCGCUAAGGUGGGACAGAUGAUUAGGGUGAAGUCGUAACAAGGUAGCCGUAGGAGAACCUGCGGCUGGAUCACCUCCUUUCUAAGGAUAAUACGGAAACCUACACACAUGUCAAAACUUUGUUUAGUUUUGAGAGGUCUACUCUCAAACUGGGUUCUUUGAAACUAGAUAAUAUCCAUAUUAAUAUAAUUAAUAAUGACAUCACCCCUAACUUGCAACUUUAUUAGCGUAUUAUGACCAAUUACUCAUAAUUCAAACACUCAACUGAUUGACAGGGCUACGUAAUGAGGGCACAUUGUUAUAGGUUAAGAUUAGGUUAAGUUAGGAAGGGCGCAUGGUGAAUGCCUUGGCACUAGGAGCCGAUGAAGGACGGGACUAACACCGAUAUGCUUCGGGGAGCUGUACGUAAGCUAUGAUCCGGAGAUCUCCGAAUGGGGAAGCCCAAUAGUUUUAACCGACUAUUAUCCGCAUCCGAAUACAUAGACCAUGUGAAGGUAA